rnacentral:rRNA from 1 species
AAGUUUGAUCAUGGCUCAGGAUGAACGCUGGCGGUGCGCCUAAUGCAUGCAAGUCGAGCGACGCAUACCCAGUCCGUAAGGACAGGGUAUGACGGAGCGGCGAACGGGUGAGUAACACGUGAGCAACCUGCCCCACAGAUCGGGAUAGCCCAGGGAAACUUGGAUUAAUACCGGAUAUUCUCCUUGGACCGCAUGGUCCGUUGAGGAAAUGCCUUUGUGCUGUGGGAUGGGCUCGCGAUUUAUCAGUUAGUUGGUGGGGUAACGGCCUACCAAGACAAUGACGAGUAGCUGGUCUGAGAGGACGAUCAGCCACACUGGAACUGAGACACGGUCCAGACUCCUACGGGAGGCAGCAGCAGGGAAUCUUGCGCAAUGGACGAAAGUCUGACGCAGCGACACCGCGUGGGGGAUGAAGGCCUUCGGGUUGUAAACCCCUUUUAGGAGGGAAGAAAUUGACGGUACCUCCAGAAAAAGGACCGGCCAACUACGUGCCAGCAGCCGCGGUAAUACGUAGGGUCCGAGCGUUAUCCGGAAUCAUUGGGCGUAAAGAGCUCGUAGGCGGUUCAGCAAGUCGGCUGUGAAAGUUCGAGGCUCAACCUCGAAAUUGCAGUCGAUACUGCUGUGACUUGAAUUCGGUAGAGGAGAAUGGAAUUCCCGGUGUAGCGGUGAAAUGCGCAGAUAUCGGGAGGAACACCAGUAGCGAAGGCGGUUCUCUGGGCCGAUAUUGACGCUGAGGAGCGAAAGCGUGG